rnacentral:tRNA from 1 species
GCGGGGGUAGCCAAGCCUGGCCAAAGGCGCAGGAGCCUAUUGAGGAAAAACCUCAUAGGCGGCGAGAAUGAGGAUCCUGUCCCGUAGGGGUUCGUGGGUUCAAAUCCCACCCCCCGCACCA